ensembl:lncRNA
GUCCACAGUCUGGUCAGACAGAUAGUCAGAUAUUUCCCACCACUGUCUAAGAUGUAUCUACAGUUGAAGUUGGAAGUUUACAUACACCGUAGCCAAACACAUUUAAACUCAGUUUUUCACAAUUCCUGACAUUUAACCCUAGUAAAAAUUCCCUGUUUUAGGUCAGUUAGGAUCACCACUGUAUUUUAAGAAUGUGAAAUGUCAGAAUAAUAGUAGAGCGAAUGAUUCAUUUCAGCUUUUACUUCUUUCAUCACAUUCCCAAUGGGUCAGAAGUACACUCAAUUAGUAUUUGGAGCAUUGCAUUUAAAUUGUUUAACUUGUCAAACGUUUCAGGUACCCUCCACAACCUUCCCACAAUAAGUUGGGUGAAUUUUGGCCCAUUCCUCCUGACAGAGCUGGUGUAACUGAGUCAGCAAGCUCAAGGGAGAGGCAUCAUCUCUGCAUAUCCUCAUCUUGCCCACUCUACCCGCUUGCCGAGAAUCUUGAGAAACCCCUAGAAACUUGGAAAGCAGAUCCCAUCAGGUUUUCCACUUUCCUCAUCCCAGAUUCCAUGUCAGUGCCAGGGAAGCCCAUAACUAGAGUUAGAAGGAACUGGAAUGUGUCCUUAGCACGGCCUUCGGACAGGGGACCUCUCAACCAAAGGACAUCCACCUUGUUGCUGCUGCUCCUCUCCGCUGUUCACCUACUGUGGGAAAAAGACACAAAUCACAACGCUAUCAAUAGAAUUGCUAAAGACACGGGGGACACGCCCGACGCAGCUGCAUGAUGCUACAACCCAACAGGCCCGGCAUAGCGCGAGAGACAGCCCAGCAAGCAGCCAUCGACAGCUGAACCCUGCUCGGGUAGAGCUAAAGGAAAGAACACUGCUCGGAAAGAGCCGAACAAAAAAUCAAACAUUGACCUCCAUGAGUGAAUCAACUGCUGUGUUAGUUUGCCCCGGUGCUCAUAGUUAGCCUUUAGCCUAAAUCCUAGCCCUUUUAUUUUUCCAAUAGGGCCGUAGUGAUAGUGUAUUGUCAAAACUGAAUUUAUAAUAAAGAACCUUUGAUUGUACUUUG